CAUGCCUGACCAGGGAUUGUUUAAGAUAGUGGGGGAAAUGUUCAUGUAAAUCUUUGCUCAUGUCUACCAACUAAAAUCCAAGUGAAAGAGACAAAGUGGCUAGCUGAAUGACCCACUUCCUAAGGUGAUGAUAAUAGAACUGUGGUUUGCUGAGCACUUACCAGGUACUGUUCUCUGUUAACCUAUUUAACCUCAUGUAUUACCUUAUGAUGUAGGGUUUUCAUAUAUAACCCCAUUUUACAGGGAAGUGAGCAGAUGCAGAAUGGUAAAUCAUGUGUCCAAGAUCCCUCAAUUUGUAAGGGAAAGGUCUAGAAUUUCAUUGUCCAGUACACUAGCUGCUAGGCAUAUGUGGCUUUCAAGCAGUUGAAAUAUGUCUGACCUGAACUGAGAUAAAAUUCAAAGUGUAAAAUACACAUCAGAUUUCAAAGAUAGUACCCCAAAAAGAAUGUAAAAUGUCGCAUUAAUUUUGAUCUUGAUUACAUGUCUAAAUAAUACUAUUUUGGAUAUAUGGGAUUAAAUAAAGUAUAUUAUUAAAAUUAAUUUCACUUGUUUCUUUUUACUUUUUUUAAUGCAAUCACCAUAACAUUUAAAAUUAUAUAUGUGGCUCACACUUGUUACCUUAUGUUCUGUUUUUCUAGCAUUUCUUUUUGGUUCUUUCUUAGGAUUUCCAUCUCUCUACUUAAUGCUGUCCGUCUAUCUGUUCUUGCAUGCUGUCUACUUUAUCCUUUAGAGCCCUUAGCGUGUCAAUCAAAGUCGUUUUAAAUUCCCAAUUGGGUAAUUUCAACAUCCCUGCUGGGCCUGAUUCUGAUGCAUGUGUGUCUCUUCAGAUUGUGUUUUUGCCUUUUAGUAUGCCUUGUAAUUUUUUUCUUGAUUGCCACUCAUACUGGGUAAAAGAAACUGCUAUAACUAGGCCUUCUUAGCUUAGUGUGGAGGUGGGAGAGGAAACAUUCUAUAAUCUCUUGGUGAGGUCUCCAACUUAGUGUGCCUCUGCCUCUGGAGGAUGAACUUCACAAGAGUUUCUCAGUUUUUUUUCUCCACCACCAUUCACCGUUAGGGGGUACAACAUGGCUAGAGUGGGCUGGAGUUGGUAUUUCCCUUCCCUGGGUCAGUUAGAUUCUGAUAUUCCAACUCCUUAGCCUUUGGUUAGUUAGUUUCCCCUGAGGUGGGGAGGUGGCGGGAGGAGGGGCUACCAUGCUAAAAACAGAGUGCUUGGGUAUAUUUCAAAACGGCUCCUUGCUCCCCCUGGAUGUACUGCAAAAUUGUUCUCCAGUAUUUACCGUAGGAAUGUGGUAGAGCUCCCGGACAGGUAAACCUUAAUCAUAUGGUGGGCGCCCCUGUGACUGGGUCCCUCCAGAGUUCUUAACUCUCAGAGUUGUUUGCACUGGGCCUUCUGCAAUUCUCCAAUCAGAGUUCAGGUGUACCUACCCCAGCGAUGGUUCCUUCUUGUGAGCCUCUAGUCUUGUAAGCAGCGAUGGCCUGUAUCUUUGACCUGUCUCUUUCUCUAGUUCUGGAGGCUGCAGUUUUCUCCUCUCUGAUGGAUCCAAGAAAACUUACUGAUUUUUCAGUCUGUUGAGCUUCAUAUGAGUUGUCAGGAUGAAGUGGCCACUUCCAAGUUUUUACAUGCAGAACCAGAUACUGGAAGUUCUAUUGAUUAGAUAGUGAUAGCGUAGGAUUUGGAAGCAACUCUCUUUAGAAACUAAGGCUAAACUAUUGCCAUAAGCUAUUUGACCAGCUUUUGUGUUUGUAAUUAACGUACGGUUGAACAAUAUUAGGCCAAACCCUCUGAAACUGGUUUUGUAGGUAUGAUUUGAUGCAGUUGGCAAUUCAUUAGGGUUCAACUUAACAGUUGACAGUGAUCGACUAAUAUGGUCAUGAAAAUGCAAAUAUUAUACACGCCCCACUGACAAAACCCUUGAUAAAAUCAUUGGUUACAUCUCAGCAAAGCCACGAAGUGGACAGUACAACCCACCUCUAGGACCAUUGGACUAUUGUAUUAAAUGUUUUCAGUCCAUAGAAAUCUUCAUCGAUACACCUGUGACAACAUUUUCUAGUCUGCUGAAGGGGGAAAACAAAUCAAAAUAUUUGUUGUGCUCAUUUGAGUUACUGGUCUUGAGAAGAAAUUGCUUUUCUUUCACUAAGUAAGUGGUGCUGAACUUCCUAUGUUUCGAGGCCUUAGAUGGGUGCGUCCAAGCUUUGGGUCCCGAAAACUCACAGAAGGGAGGAGUUGCGUUUUUGUUAUAUACGGAAUCAAAAUUACAAAUACAAAAUUAAAUUCAGAGCCUUAGAAAGGGCUCAUAAAAAUGGGGAAAGCCAGGACAUCGUAAAUUUUAAGAGCUUCACUGCAAACCUGCCUCUGGGCUUUAAGCUAACACAUGCUUUUGUUUCUAUCAAAGACUGUUACCUUGUAAUUCUAGCUACAACUGGAUUUCAUCUCUUUAUUGCUAAUCUACUAAAAAUCGGUUUUAAAUCGGUUUAAAUCAGUUGCUCUGUUCUCUGUCCUCCCCUUGUCUCUGCAACUGCAUUUUGCAAGCUGAACAAAGGGAAAUAAGACCCAUAGUUUCACUAAUAUUCCAGUUCAAAGACAAUAAAGAAAAUGUUAUUUUUAUGCCUCUUUUGAAACAUCAAACUAGACCGUAUAAGUUUGGAGAAAUUGUUAAGACACCUAUCUGAUCAUUGUAUCAGUAGACAUGAGCAACUUCUUGAAGUUAUUACCUGAAAUUAUUUAAAAAAUGCUUUUCAAUAGCCUUCUUUAAAUGAAAGGAUUGCUUUAGGUUCCUUCCUGAUGGUGUCUUUACUUCCCUGAAAUACUUUGAGUUGGUGUCUUUCUUUCAGCAAGUAAUGGCUGUUUGGAGAAGAGAUGAGUGUGUUCCUGUAAUUGGGCUGAGACCUAGUGAAAGGAACAGAAUGUACUGAGGGAGACUCUGUACUGUGUGAUCAAAACUAGAGAAAUCAGUCAGCCCGAGAGAACAGACAUAAUUAAAGAGCAAAGCAAGACAUUAGUGGUAAAUGAAAAGGCCCAAUAUAAUUUCUCAGGCUUUUCCCCCAAAGUAGGAUUUUCUGUCCUACAGAUGCCAACCCAACUGAAAGAACACAGAUGUGUUACUCAGGUGACAUCAUAAAGGUCUGGCCAGCCCCAGAGAUGGAAAUCCUUUCUUCAGGCCCAAAUCUUCAUUCUGAAUCAUAUAGAAAAUUUUCAAUCUCAGGAUGUUAGGAGCAAACAAGCUAAGAAGUUAUGUAAUCCAAUACCGCUCUAAAGGCGAUGUGAAGUCAUGCAGUUUGGCUUGUCCUCAAAUAUGGGUGUAACACUAAUUUCUCCAUUUGAAACAAAAUUAAAUUAAACAGUACAGAAAACUGAGAACUUUAAGUCAAGCGGUGGUUGUUCAUUUUGUGAACUAUCAAAUUUCACACCACCAUGGGUGUACAUCUUCCCAUUGCUCACAUCCGGGUGUUCUGAGAAACCACUAGCUAUGUUCAGAUUCCUACAGAGGUGGAUAUGUGGAAGCUCCCAUGGUAGGCACAGUGGAGCCCCAGGGAGGUCUGGCAACCCCCCUGAAUACUGCUUACUUUUUACAGCUUCUGAUCAUCAAAAAUGAGGAAUUAUUCCCAUAGGUUUUUCCCUAAGUAUGUGUGUGUGUGUAUAUAUAUAUUUCAAUAUUGUCAGUGGUGUAACCUAGAAGUGCUAGGAUCGAUUUUGAUUUAUUUACUCUCGAUCAGGGAUCUGGAGAGUGGUAUCAGUGAACACCUCCGGGCAUGAUUGGAAGAGGAAGGAAGGAGGGGACAUGGUAAAGGGGAAGGAGGGGAAAUGAGGGACGCUGAGCACCAGCUUCAUGUGCAGCUCACAUUCAGUCCAAGAGCUUGAUGUCUGUGGGUAAUACCAAAGCAACCAAACAAACGUCGUGAGAAAUACAGAACAAAUUGGUCAAGUGGGCUUCACUUCAAGCAAAAGAUUCAAAGGAGGAAUCCCAUCGUGUUCUUGUCUUUCACUAGGAGUCUUUAAAAGCCAACCUGCUGCUUGCAUAAAUGAUGUGACUGGAAGAAGUGGCUCUUUGUUCUCUGUCUCUGUCUGGCUACACUGGGUUUUGGGAAGGGUCACAUCUGCCCCCUACCCCCUGGGGUCUCCCUCAGAACAGUGAGACAUCUCAAUCCUGUGUUUUCUAUUUUUGGACCAGUCUUUAUUUAUCUUGCGUUCCAGCACCUAGUACACAAUUUAGCUCCUGGAAAUUUAAUGAAUGGUUGUUAAAUUGGGGAAAGGCCUGAGACAGAGCUAUAGCCCCAACUCUGCUGCUGAGGCACUGUCUGGUACCCCCAAGAAAUCAGCGUUCUCUGUAUGUCCUUCUUUAAUAAAACAAAAGCAUUGGAUUGAGUGAUCCAAUAAAGUACUCGGUAAUCUUUUUCUCUGACUUGUAGGUUGCCCUCAUGUGUUUUUCUAUGACUGGUGCUGGUGAACAGGAAGCACCAUUCAUUUGACAAAUAAUUACUGAGCUUAUCCUAUACAUCAGAUCUUGUUUUAGGUUUCAGGUACACAAAAGUGAACGGAACAGGCCAAAUCAGUCAACUCUGCCCUCAACAAAUUCUGUUUGGGCAGGGAUUUCACUCCAGUGAAAACCUGCAAGAGGAUUCUAGAAUGUGCUCUCACACUGCAGCUUCCCUGUUGCCAGCACUGAGACUUGGUUUCCAUCUCUGACAGAGGCAGAAUCAGCAGCCACUUCUUUGGCUUGAUUUGAUAGGUGUAAGCGAAGGAAGAGCCCCUACUUCCCCAAAUGCUUUAUCCAUCGGAGCCUGUCAGUGGACAAAGCCUUUCAUCUGCCAAUCAGAGAUGAAGCUGGAAUAUAAACCCCUGUGUGAGAUAACCCAACUCUGCGAAUUCACACAAGAGAACUGAUAAGCAGCUUUUCAUAAUGAAGGAAGACUGGAACACUGUUAUCGCUGCAAAUGGAGGACCAGCAAAUAGGGCUUCUGAUGUUCAUUUCCACCACCUAUAAUCCUUGAAAACCAAUACUAACUAGUUCUGCAGUUAGUUUUGUUGCCCAGCAUGCCAUCGUCUACAGAUCAUCACUAUGACUUACAAGUGUGUGCUUUAAUUUUUAUCCCUUGAGUAACUUGUCCAUCUAAUCCCAGUUCCAGGGGUUGCAAACCAGGAGCACUUUGGACCCCUUGUCCCUGGGACAGUUGACAAGAUCUGGAGAAGCUUUGGGUUGUUACAAUUCAGGAAGCUCUACUUGGCAUCUGGUGAGUAAAGGCCAAGGAUGCAGCUAAAUAUCCUACGAUGUACAGGAUGGCCUCCCUCAGGAAAGAAUUAUAUGGCCGAAGAAAGUGAAUAUUGUUGUAACUGAGAAACUGUGACCUCGACAAAAACUUCAACAUUUUUUAGUUAUCAAGUGGUUCAUGAGGCAGUGAAGAAUUAUAUAAUAGUAUGAAUAACAACGAUGAGUUUCUAGAAUGACCUUCUAGUUGCGCAGUAGGAAAAGUGAGUAUAUUUCCAAAAUUUCUUUCAACUAGAGGGUCUCGUAGAGCAAAUUAUGCAUUAAUUUGUGUCUAUUAUAAAAGCUCUAACGACAACUGCAUUUGGAAUAUGGUGUCAUUCCCCAUGAGCUCGGAAGUCUUCGGGCUCUGGGAAAGUAGGCUUUAAUGGUUCCUUUUCCAGGUUCAUAUUUAUAGCAUUUUCCUCAAAUUCUUUAAAAAUUUGUUUGGGGAUUAAUGAAGGAAACGGACUUGUGUUGUCAUCUUUAUUAAUAGGAACAAUUUAUUGGAGAGUAUAUACAGUUGCCCUCCUCUACGGCCAAAUUGCUCAAAUCCUCAAGAAAGGCCACUUCUGGAUCCGUCAAUAUAUGCUGUUAUAAGAAGACAAACAGAUCUGUCUGUAUCUUAUCUGGUUCCUUCUAAAACAUUCUUCAGGGUCACCUGGGUGGCUCAGUGGUUGAGCAUCUGCCUUUGGCCCAGGGCGUAAUCCCAGGGUCCUGGGAUCGAGUGCCGCAUCUGGUUCCCCACAGGGAGCCCGUUUCUCCCUCUGCCUGUGUCUCCACCUCUCUCUGUGUCUCUCAUGAAUAAAUAUAUAAAAUUUCCAAAAAAAAAAAAAA
rnacentral:lncRNA from 1 species